rnacentral:rRNA from 1 species
CCUACGGGGCGUAGCAGUGAGGAAUAUUGGUCAAUGGACGAGAGUCUGAACCAGCCAAGUAGCGUGAAGGAUGACUGCCCUAUGGGUUGUAAACUUCUUUUAUAUGGGAAUAAAACGUUCCACGUGUGGGAUUUUGUAUGUACCAUAUGAAUAAGGAUCGGCUAACUCCGUGCCAGCAGCCGCGGUAAUACGGAGGAUCCGAGCGUUAUCCGGAUUUAUUGGGUUUAAAGGGAGCGUAGGUGGAUUGUUAAGUCAGUUGUGAAAGUUUGCGGCUCAACCGUAAAAUUGCAGUUGAAACUGGCAGUCUUGAGUACAGUAGAGGUGGGCGGAAUUCGUGGUGUAGCGGUGAAAUGCUUAGAUAUCACGAAGAACUCCGAUUGCGAAGGCAGUUCACUGGACUGCAACUGACACUGAGGCUCGAAAGUGUGGGUAUCAAACAGGAUUAGAUACCCCUGUAGUC